GAUGAACGCUAGCGGCAGGCCUAACACAUGCAAGUCGAGGGGCAGCACAUAAAGUGGUUUACUACUUUUGGUGGCGAUCGGCGGACGGGUGCGUAAAGCGUAUGCAACCUGCCUCCAACAGGGGGAUAACGGCGAGAAAUUUCCACUAAUACCCUAUAGUAUCAGAAUCGGCAUCGGUUUUGGUUGAAAACUGAGGUGGUUGGAGAUGGGCAUGCGUUGUAUUAGAUAGUUGGUGAGGUAACGGCUCACCAAGUCAACGAUACAUAGGGGGACUGAGAGGUUAGCCCCCCACACUGGUACUGAGACACGGACCAGACUCCUACGGGAGGCAGCAGUGAGGAAUAUUGGUCAAUGGGGGCAACCCUGAACCAGCCAUGCCGCGUGCAGGAAGACGGCUCUAUGAGUUGUAAACUGCUUUUACAAGGGGAUAAAGCGGUGUACGUGUACACCGUUGAAGGUACCUUUGGAAUAAGGAUCGGCUAACUCCGUGCCAGCCGCCGCGGUAA
rnacentral:rRNA from 1 species